AAAGAAAUCGUUAAGGGCGUAUGGCGGAUGCCUAGGCUUUCAGAGGCGAAGAAGGACGUGGUAAGCUGCGAAAAGCUCGGGGGAUUGGCACACACGAAUUGAUCCCGAGAUGUCCGAAUGGGGCAACCCGGCAUGUUGAAGACAUGUCACCUCGUAAGAGGAGCAAACCAGGAGAACUGAAACAUCUAAGUACCCUGAGGAAAAGAAAUCGAAGAGAUUCCGUAAGUAGUGGCGAGCGAAAGCGGAUUAGCCCAAAAGUCUUUAUAUGUUUAAUAGAACACACUGGAAAGUGUGGCCAUAGAGGGUGAUAGCCCCGUAUAUGAAAGGCAUACAUAGAUGAUAAAUGAGUAGGGCGGGACACGUGAAAUCCUGUCUGAAUAUGGGGGGACCAUCCUCCAAGGCUAAAUACUCCUGAAAGACCGAUAGUGAACAAGUACUGUGAAGGAAAGGUGAAAAGCACUUCGAAUAGAAGGGUGAAAUAGAACCUGAAACCGUACGCCUACAAGCGGUCGGAGCACCUAUAUGGUGUGACGGCGUGCCUUUUGCAUAAUGAGCCUACGAGUUAAUUUUACUAGCGAGGUU
rnacentral:ncRNA from 1 species